rnacentral:rRNA from 1 species
UUACGGUCAAAUCACGCUGAAACACCGGUUCUCGUUCGAUCACCGCAGUUAAGCAUCGUAGAGCCAGGUCAGUACUUAGAUGGGGGACCGCUUGGGAACACCUGGUACUGUAAG